UCACUGUUACGGGAGGAGAGAAGAGAUCCUCUUCCCUCAACACAGAAUGGUUGCUUCUUAAUCAAUUAGUUUCAGCGUUUGUACCUCUCUCUCUGGAUCGAUGUCAUCCUACAGUCUCUUCUCGAGCAAGGCGUGGACUCUGUGGUCUGUGUGUUCUGGUAUCUGCUGAGUCACCAGAAAUCUGCCA